CGGUGAAGGGGAGCUUGCUCCCCGGAUCAGUGGCGAACGGGUGAGUAACACGUGGGCAACCUGCCCCUGACUUCGGGAUAACGCUUCGAAAGAGGUGCUAAUACCGAAUAUGAACGCGAAGGACAUCCUUUGCGUUGGAAAGUUUUUCGGUCAGGGAUGGGCCCGCGGCCUAUCAGCUAGUUGGUGAGGUAACGGCUCACCAAGGCGACGACGGGUAGCCGGCCUGAGAGGGCGACCGGCCACACUGGGACUGAGACACGGCCCAGACUCC
rnacentral:rRNA from 1 species